rnacentral:rRNA from 1 species
AUUGAACGCUGGCGGCAUGCUUUACACAUGCAAGUCGAACGGUAACAGGUUAAGCUGACGAGUGGCGAACGGGUGAGUAAUGCAUCGGAACGUGCCCGAUCGUGGGGGAUAACACUUCGAAAGAAGUGCUAAUACCGCAUACGAUCUGAGGAUGAAAGCGGGGGACCGUAAGGCCUCGCGCGAUCGGAGCGGCCGAUGUCAGAUUAGGUAGUUGGUGGGGUAAAGGCUCACCAAGCCGACGAACUGUAGCUGGUCUGAGAGGACGACCAGCCACACUGGGACUGAGACACGGCCCAGACUCCUACGGGAGGCAGCAGUGGGGAAUUUUGGACAAUGGGCGCAAGCCUGAUCCAGCAAUGCCGCGUGCAGGAAGAAGGCCUUCGGGUUGUAAACUGCUUUUGUACGGAGCGAAAAGGCUCUCUCUAAUACAGGGGGCUCAUGACGGUACCGUAAGAAUAAGCACCGGCUAACUACGUGCCAGCAGCCGCCGUAAAAC